GACGAACGCUGGCGGCGUGCUUAACACAUGCAAGUCGAACGAAGUGGCGAACGGGUGAGUAACGCGUAAUCAACCUGCCCUUCAGAGGGGGACAACAGUUGGAAACGACUGCUAAUACCGCAUACUGAAGGAGGGGAUUGCGUCUGAUUAGCUAGUCGGAGGGGUAACGGCCCACCAAGGCGAUGAUCAGUAGGUGGUCUGAGAGGAGGAACGGCCACAUUGGGACUGAGACACGGCCCAGACUCCUACGGGAGGCAGCAGUGGGGAAUCUUCCACAAUGGACGAAAGUCUGACCGAGCAACGCCGCGUGAAUGAAGAAGGUUUUCGGGUCGUAAAACUCUUUUGGUAGGGAAGCGUUAUCUAACCAGAAAGCCACGGCUAACUACGUGCCAGCAGCCGCGGUAAUUC
rnacentral:rRNA from 1 species